rnacentral:rRNA from 1 species
UACGUAGGUGGCAAGCGUUGUCCGGAUUUACUGGGCGUAAAGAGCGCGCAGGCGGUCGUUCAAGUCGCGUGUGAAAGCCCCCCGGCUCAACUGGGGAGGGUCACGCGAUACUGAUCGACUCGAAGGCAGGAGAGGGAAGUGGAAUUCCCGGUGUAGUGGUGAAAUGCGUAGAUAUCGGGAGGAACACCAGUAGCGAAGGCGGCUCGCUGGGCCAUUCCUGACGCUGAGACGCGAAAGCUAGGGGAGCGAACAGG